GAUAUGGUGUUAAAAUAAGGGUA
rnacentral:siRNA from 1 species